GUGAGGUAACGGCUCACCAAGGCAACGACGGGUAGCUGGUCUGAGAGGACGAUCAGCCACACUGGGACUGAGACACGGCCCAGACUCCUACGGGAGGCAGCAGCAGGGAAUAUUGCACAAUGGGCGAAAGCCUGAUGCAGCGACGCCGCGUGGGGGAUGAAUGCCUUCGGGUUGUAAACCCCUUUCAGGAAGGACGAAGCGAAAGUGACGGUACUUCCAGAAGAAGCCCCGGCCAACUACGUGCCAGCAGCCGCGGUAAUACGUAGGGGGCAAACGUUGUCCGGAUUUAUUGGGCGUAAAGAGCUCGUAGGCGGCUCAGCAAGUCGGCCGUGAAAGCCCGAGGCUCAACCUCGGGAGGCCGGUCGAAACUGCUGUGGCUAGGGUCCGGUAGAGGAGAGUGGAAUUCCCGGUGUAGCGGUGAAAUGCGCAGAUAUCGGGAGGAACACCAGUAGCGAAGGCGGCUCUCUGGGCCGGUACCGACGCUGAGGAGCGAAAGCUAGGGGAGCAAACAGGAUUAGAUACCCUGGUAGUCCUAGCUGUAAACGUUGGGCACUAGGUGUGGCGGAGUCAUUGACAUCUGCCGUGCCGAAGCUAACGCAUUAAGUG
rnacentral:rRNA from 1 species